UGGUGGAGCGAUUUGUCUGGUUAAUUCCGAUAACGGACGAGACUCUGGCCUAUUAAAUAGUUCGCCGAUUCCGAUCUGUCGGCGUUAACUUCUUAGAGGGACAAGUGGCUUUUAGCCACGCGAGAUUGAGCAAUAACA
rnacentral:rRNA from 1 species